rnacentral:lncRNA from 1 species
GCUUGCUCUUAGCAUGUAAACAAUGCCCUUCACAUUUUGUUAGCUUAAGAGAUUGCUGAGAUGUUAUCACCUCCUUGAUACCUACAAAAUGAAAAUCUCAUAAUUGUGGUUUCGAUAUACCAACUGAAUGCUGUCCUUGUACUAAAGCAUCACUUCUUCCUUUGGUAAUCUCCUUAUAUUUCUUCUUAUUUUUUUGAGCUUUCUAUUUCUGCCACAUGUCUUCCUCCAUAGAAUGUUCUCAUAUACUAAAAUAGCCGGCACAUUGUUCAAAGGAUCUUUCAUAUCCAUGGGAUCCAACAUAAUCUUUCAUGUUAAUGAAAAUUUUAAUUUAUCUUUUAGUAAUGCAUGCCUUUCCUUUAUAAAUAGGCCGUGCAUCCCUCUUUUUAGACUCAUCCUCUUUCUUCCUCUUGACUAACGUCAUACCACCCUUUGAUCUUCUUUUAUUUUUUAUGGAGAGUAAAGCUGAGUAUCCGCUAGGAUAAUCCAUUCAUUUUGACCCAUCAACUUUUGAAUGGUUUUCUAAAUUAGAAUCCCAUCACAAAUUGAGGCAUCAUUACAAAUAGCACCUUGCUGAAUUGGAACAUCAUCUCCAAAUGCUAACUAUAUGGUUCAAGGCUUUUACAUCGACAAGUCG